CCUACGGGAGGCAGCAGUGGGGAAUAUUGGACAAUGGGCGAAAGCCUGAUCCAGCCAUGCCGCGUGUGUGAAGAAGGCCUUCGGGUUGUAAAGCACUUUCAGUGGGGAAGAAAGCCUUGGGGCUAAUACCCUCGAGGAAAGACAUCACCCACAGAAGAAGCACCGGCUAACUCCGUGCCAGCAGCCGCGGUAAUACGGAGGGUGCGAGCGUUAAUCGGAAUUACUGGGCGUAAAGCGCGCGUAGGCGGUCUGAUAAGCCGGUUGUGAAAGCCCCGGGCUCAACCUGGGAACGGCAUCCGGAACUGUCAGGCUAGAGUGCAGGAGAGGAAGGUAGAAUUCCCGGUGUAGCGGUGAAAUGCGUAGAGAUCGGGAGGAAUACCAGUGGCGAAGGCGGCCUUCUGGACUGACACUGACGCUGAGGUGCGAAAGCGUGGGUAGCAAACAGGAUUAGAUACCCCAGUAGUC
rnacentral:rRNA from 1 species